UACCUACGGGGCGCAGCAGUGAGGAAUAUUGGUCAAUGGGAGAGAUCCUGAACCAGCCAAGCCGCGUGAGGAAAGACGGCCCUAUGGGUUGUAAACCUCUUUUGCCGGGGAGCAACGGGCGCCACGUGUGGCGCCACUGAGAGUACCCGGAGAAAAAGCAUCGGCUAACUCCGUGCCAGCAGCCGCGGUAAUACGGAGGAUGCGAGCGUUAUCCGGAUUUAUUGGGUUUAAAGGGUGCGUAGGCGGAUCGUUAAGUCAGUGGUCAAAUUGAGGGGCUCAACCCCUUCCCGCCAUUGAAACUGGCG
rnacentral:rRNA from 1 species